rnacentral:misc_RNA from 1 species
GAAAUGCGAUAAGUAAUGUGAAUUGCAGAAUUCAGUGAAUCAUCGAAUCUUUGAACGCACAUUGCGCCCUGUGGUAUUCCGCAGGGCAUGCCUGUUCGAGCGUCAGUACAACACUCAAGCUCAGCUUGGUCUUGAGCCCAGCGGGAAACCGCGGGCUUUAAAAUCAGUGGCGGCGCCAUCUGGCUCUAAGCGUAGUAAUACUCCUCGCUCUUGAGUCCUGGUGGAUGCUGGCCAGCAACCCCCAACUUUCUAAGUUUGACCUCGGAUCAGGUAGGGAUACCCGCUGAACUUAA